GAUGAACGCUAGCUACAGGCUUAACACAUGCAAGUCGAGGGGAAACGAUAUUGGAAGCUUGCUUCCGAUAGGCGUCGACCGGCGCACGGGUGAGUAACGCGUAUCCAACCUGCCCAUCACUUGGGGAUAACCUUGCGAAAGUAAGACUAAUACCCAAUGAUAUCUCUAGAAGACAUCUGAAAGAGAUUAAAGAUUUAUCGGUGAUGGAUGGGGAUGCGUCUGAUUAGCUUGUUGGCGGGGUAAUGGCCCACCAAGGCGACGAUCAGUAGGGUUCUGAGAGGAAGGUCCCCCACAUUGGAACUGAGACACGGUCCAAACUCCUACGGGAGGCAGCAGUGAGGAAUAUUGGUCAAUGGGCGAGAGCCUGAACCAGCCAAGUAGCGUGCAGGAUGACGGCCCUAUGGGUUGUAAACUGCUUUUAUAAGGGAAUAAAGUGAGUCUCGUGAGACUUUUUGCAUGUACCUUAUGAAUAAGGACCGGCUAAUUCCGUGCCAGCAGCCGCGGUAA
rnacentral:rRNA from 1 species